GGAACAUGUCUGAGUGGCAAACUGAAACAGCUUCCACCAGGAAAACGGACAGUUGUGCUGAAAGACACAUGCAGGGGAAUCCUAAAAGCCGAGGCAGUCCUGUGUGAUGGACAACAGGAGAAGCAGUUUUGGCUGCACAGUCUGCAGAGCAGACUCUCUGGCGCCGGCGCCGUGACGUCACCCCAUUCACAGCAGCCCUCUAGCCAGCCCUCGCGGCGCCGCUGAGGCGGUUUCCAUGGAGACGGGGUUUCGGGGU